ACGCUCGACACCUACGGGAAGCAGCAGUGGGGAAUAUUGGGCAAUGGAGGCAACUCUGACCCAGCAACGCCGCGUGAGUGAUGAAGGUCUUCGGAUUGUAAAACUCUUUAAGUAGGGACGAAGAAAGUGACGGUACCUACAGAAUAAGCCUCGGCUAACUACGUGUCAGCAGCCGCGGUAAUCUGAGCGGGCUGGCAAGGC
rnacentral:rRNA from 1 species